CGUAGGGUGCGAGCGUUAAUCGGAAUUACUGGGCGUAAAGCGUGCGCAGGCGGUCCGCUAAGACCGAUGUGAAAUCCCCGGGCUUAACCUGGGAACUGCAUUGGUGACUGGCGGGCUGGAGUAUGGCAGAGGGGGGUAGAAUUCCACGUGUAGCAGUGAAAUGCGUAGAGAUGUGGAGGAAUACCGAUGGCGAAGGCAGCCCCCUGGGCCAAUACUGACGCUCAUGCACGAAAGCGUGGGGAGCAAACAGG
rnacentral:rRNA from 1 species